rnacentral:rRNA from 1 species
GACGAACGCUGGCGGCGUGCUUAACACAUGCAAGUCGAACGGAAAGGCCUCAGCUUGCUGGGGUACUCGAGUGGCGAACGGGUGAGUAACACGUGGGUGAUCUGCCUUGCACUCUGGGAUAAGCUUGGGAAACUGGGUCUAAUACCGGAUAUGAACUGCCUUUAGUGUGGUGGUUGGAAAGUUUUUUCGGUGCAAGAUGAGCUCGCGGCCUAUCAGCUUGUUGGUGGGGUAAUGGCCUACCAAGGCGUCGACGGGUAGCCGGCCUGAGAGGGUGUACGGCCACAUUGGGACUGAGAUACGGCCCAGACUCCUACGGGAGGCAGCAGUGGGGAAUAUUGCACAAUGGGCGGAAGCCUGAUGCAGCGACGCCGCGGGGGGGAGGACGGCCUUCGGGUUGUAAACGCCUUUCGACAGGGACGAAGCUUUUUGUGACGGUACCUGUAGAAGAAGCACCGGCUAACUACGUG